UGGCGGCAGGCUUAACACAUGCAAGUCGAACGCGUGUAGCAAUACACGAGUGGCGCACGGGUGAGUAACGCGUGGAUAUCUGCCUUUUGGUUCGGAAUAACUCCGGGAAACUGGAGCUAAUACCGGAUGGUUCCUACGGGAUAAAGAUUUAUCGCCAAAAGAUGAGUCCGCGUACGAUUAGCUAGUUGGUGAGGUAAUGGCUCACCAAGGCGACGAUCGUUAGCUGGUCUGAGAGGACGAUCAGCCACACUGGGACUGAGACACGGCCCAGACUCCUACGGGAGGCAGCAGUGGGGAAUAUUGGACAAUGGGGGCAACCCUGAUCCAGCCAUGCCGCGUGAGUGAUGAAGGCCUUCGGGUUGUAAAGCUCUUUUGGCGGGGACGAUGAUGACGGUACCCGCAGAAUAAGCCCCGGCUAACUUCGUG
rnacentral:rRNA from 1 species